CUUCGGGGACAUUGGUGACAGGUGGUGCAUGGUUGUCGUCAGCUCGUGUCGUGAGAUGUUGGGUUAAGUCCCGCAACGAGCGCAACCCUUGUCUUUAGUUGCCAUCAUUAAGUUGGGCACUCUAGAGAGACUGCCAGGGAUAACCUGGAGGAAGGUGGGGAUGACGUCAAAUCAUCAUGCCCCUUAUGCUUAGGGCUACACACGUGCUACAAUGGGUAGUACAGAGGGUUGCCAAGCCGUAAGGUGGAGCUAAUCCCUUAAAGCUACUCUCAGUUCGGAUUGUAGGCUGAAACUCGCCUACAUGAAGCUGGAGUUACUAGUAAUCGCAGAUCAGAAUGCUGCGGUGAAUGCGUUCCCGGGUCUUGUACACACCGCCCGUCACACCACGGGAGUUGGAGACGCCCGAAGCCGAUUAUCUAACCUUUUGGAAGAAGUCGUCGAAGGUGGAAUCAAUAACUGGGGUGAAGUCGUAACAAGGUAGCCGUAUCGGAAGGUGCGGCUGGAUCACCUCCCUUCUAAGG
rnacentral:rRNA from 1 species